rnacentral:sRNA from 1 species
AAUACUGACAACAGAAUCUAUGUAG